UCCUCUGAUAGUCCAAAAUAACAUUGAAUUUGCGCUUAAACGGCUUAGUGCGAUUAUGAAAUUACAAAGCUGCGAUUAUUUUUUUUUUAUGCAGCUUGUCAAUGAAGUAUGGCUCCAUGCUAAUCCAUCUAAUAGCACUGCGAGUUUGAGUUUAUGUUUAUGUUUGUUUAUUUGUAUAGCACAUUUAAAAGCAACACAAGUUGACCAAAGUACUUUCCAUUAAAACAUCACAUAAAAUAAAUAACCAAAACUAAAGCAAAAAAAAAAAAAAAGAACAAACAUGACAUUUACACAAAUGUUGUUUAUAAUGCGCAUUAGAAAAAAGCAACAUGUGUCAAACAUCUUUCCAGACUUCAUAACGUCAGUUGAGCAUCCUUCUGAGAUGAUGUGGCCUUUUAAGCCCGGGAUACACUGCACAAUUUUUGGCUGUCCCAGACGAAAGAUUGUCAUCGUGAAACAAUCGUGGCAAUUUCUGUGAUCAUGGCUCUUAAUCAGUGGUCCUAUGUCGUACAGUGUGAGAGGUUCAAAGACGGACAUUUUCCCGGUCUUGCGACCAAAGAUAGCCUGACGCUGGCUGCGUCCGAAACCGCCUACUUCUCUACUAUUUAGUAGGGGAAAAGCAGUAGGCGAGCGAAUAAGUAUGUCCGAAGCAAAAAGAGUAGGCGAAAAUUACCUGGGUGAUGUACUAAUUCUCGCGAGAUUCGGACGUGCGUCUACUUAAAGUGCGUCCGAAACUGCCUACUUCUCUACUAUAUAAUAGGGAAAAAGCAGUAGGCGAACAAUUAAGUAUGUCAGAAAUCUCAGUAAUCAUAAAUGAGUAGUUGAGAAGUUCCCGGAUGGCCUACUGCUUCCGCCCAGAUUCUGAAGUGUUCCUCGAUUGAUACUUUUCUAUCCCAGGAGGCCAUGGGAGAGGAUAUGUCAUAAUCGAACACGGAGGAGAAAAGCGGUGCGGAUGCUUUCAAAUGGACAGAUGAUCACACGUGUUUAUCUGGUGAUGAAGGAAUGCUGCCAUCAAAGGCUUUGAAGCUUUGUGGUGAAGCAGGACCUACAAGACAAGGAUGUGAAAUGUCCUUAGACUGGUGUGAGCACUGAGGAUGGAGAGCCACAGCAGAUCCUGGAAAUGGUGUAGAGCCAUGGAUGAGACCCUCCAUCACUCCUCCUUCCAAGUGACUUGAUCAAGGACACACUGGAGGUGUACACCACAAAAUCAUGCUGAUGGAGAGCACAUGAAUGUUUGCAGCAGACACAGCAGCAGCCAGAUUGUCCUGCACAUCUUCUCCCACUCUUGCUUCAAGGUUGUGGGGUUCAGGGGUCCAUCAUCAUCAUCUUCCUCAUCCUCUGGAUCAACGAUGUCCCCAUUGAGAAGAGCAGCAGUGAGGGACAUUAUG